rnacentral:lncRNA from 1 species
AAAUUUGAUCAAAUUUCAAAAAGAAAACGCAUCAAAAAGAAUGCAUCAUCAAUUGAUGAUGCGUUCUUUUCACUUGAUUAGAAACUUAAGUAGUAGCUAAAUAGGACGGUUCAUUUUGUGAAAAUAUAACUGCUUUAAAUGGUUUAAAAAUUUUGGUUUUGUUCUUUCCAUCUUUUUUAUUUGUUUUCAAAAUUAAAAAAUUACUUAUUCACAUCAUUGUUCUUAUUCUAAAAAUAAACUUGAAAAUUUUUAAAAUUUUUAUAAAUUAAAAAUUGAUAAUUUAAAUUUUAUUAAAGGAUUCUCUGGAUUGUUUAUCUGUAACUGUAAGUUUGAUUACAGGUUAUAAUCUAUCUAUUCAAUACACUAUUGUGAUUACAAAUCGGUCUUCUUUAAACUGUUUCUUUCAAAGCAAAAAACGUUCAACUUCAAAAGUGAACAAAAAUGGAAAUGUACACCAUUUGCUUGGAGGAAAAUAUUUCAAUCCGGAUGUUAAUGUGCUUGAAGAAACUAAAACUGCCCUCAUACUAACAUUGUGUCUGAAUGUGACUUUGCUUCCUAUGACCGCAGGUAAAAAAUAUGAAGGUACUUUGCUUCCUAUAUAUGAAAAUAUAAAGACUUUGCUUCCUAUGACCGCAGGUAAAAAACAUGACAACAGUAGCUGCAGCUGGUGUCAUCAUGUUUAAUAACAACAAAACAGCUGAUUAGUUAGAUGUAAAAUCAUAGGAAGAAAUUGAAAGGCUAGUUAUACUAGCAAAAUAGAAAAGAGUAUAUGAGAAAGUACAAAGAAAAGAAAGCAAAUAUAUUGCGGUACAAAUUUGAUGAUGGAUAAGCUUAACCUAGAAAAGAAAAGAAAGGAAUAAAAGGCAAGCAAAGAAAGAGAGUUUUUAACAACAGAAAAUAGACUGAAAACUACUAAAAAUGAAGUUGUAAUAAAGUUGCAAAGACAAAUUAAAUUUCAAAAAAAAGUAUUACAGCAAAAAUUUCCAGAAAAGUGGUUACAAUUAGGCGAAAAAGGCCAAGGUGAAAAAUAUAAAAAAUUUAGAGGCAUUAGAGGCAUUAAAAACCAACCUGCUAUCAAUUUUUAAAUUUUUAAGACGCUCCAGUACAAUAAGCAAUAACAAUAAAAUUUUCAGUAAUCAGACAGAAAAAAGAGAGAUGUUGAUAGUAAAAAAAAUUUAGAUUAGAGAGUGACAAUAGAAAUUUAAAAUAAUAGGAACAGGUGCAUCAAAGGAAGGGCCUUCCAAAGUUUUUAGGAAAAAGAAUUAAACAUAAGACAGUAAAUAAAGAAGGCAAAGAUAAAUGGUAUUCAGGGCUAUUAUUGGUCAAAGACUGGAGGAUGAAAUGUGUUGUGAUUAAAGGAAAAGCUGAUGGGUUUGUGGAGAGCGAAGUUAGAAAAAAGCAAAAAUUUUGGUAAUGCCAUUUUUGAUGCAAUUUUCAAUUCAAUUUCAAUUUAAUAUAUUUGUGUUUUUGUUCUGUUUAGUCAUCUGGAGUGGUGUUGGCACACCUACAAUUCUUUAUAUGUGUACUUGUCUUCUGUUGGAACUCUGCAGUGGUGUUGAAAUACCGACUACAUGCAUAUGGGAAGUAGUUCGUAUUAAUUGCAGGACCAUUUGCUCAAACAUCAAUAUGGAACAAAUAUGUCAUGAGCUGCAUCAGUUUUUUUUCCAAUCGGCCUGUUGCCUAAGCAUUAACAAGCAAGGAAGUUGUAAUGGUUACAAAAGCAAUUAUAAAUUUGGAAACAACCUUUGCGUUUUUUUCUGUAAUAAGUACAGAUAAUGGAACUGAAUUAUGAGAAGACUGUAUUGUCAGUAAUUUGUUGAAUCAGGAAAGCAACUCUUCUCAAUCCAUAAAAACUUUGCAAACAAGUUUGAAAAAUCAGAUUGAAGUAUUGGCACCAGUUGGGUUACUUUUACUUAAAGAGCUACCAAAUCAAACUGACCUAAAAUGAAGGCAGCCUGAGAUAAUCAAACCGAGUGAUAAAACAAUUCAUCAUAUCAACCCUUUGGGUGAAUUUGAAAUGAGUGUACUUAAAGUUCUUAAUGUUCAACAAAAUAUGUCAAAUAAAAUAAUAUACAUUAAACGUCCAAUAUAGAUUAAAAAGGAAAUUCGAAUAUCUAGAAGAUACUACUCUAAUGAUAAAUUUACAAAAAUUGUUGACGAAAUAACCAUAAAAUAAACCAAUGGAAUACUUAUAAAUUGCGAAGAAUUAAUAGCAAGUUCUCUGAAUAUGGAAUAGCGUUCCGUGGACCAAGACUAUAGAACACUUCAAAAAGCAAAAAGUUUAAAUACGUUAAAAUCUUUAAACUUCUUUAAGUUUCUAAUUAAAAAAAAUGUUAGAUUUGAUAAAUAUGUGUUUAUGUUGUGUUCAUAAUAUAUUCUACUUAAAGA